rnacentral:lncRNA from 1 species
GGGGGGGGGGCAGUGGGGUCACUGGACCCCCCUGGAAUUUCCAAAAAUCCCAGGGGUAUUUUAGUAAUUUUACAAAUAUAUUUAAAAAAAUAAAAAAAAUAUUAAUUUUAUCUAUCCUCCGCAGCUGAAAUCCACAUUCUGCCUCGCCUCCACUUCCACCUCCGCAUCCCCAAAUGCAUCAUCCUCCGCAGCUGCCUCUUCCCCUUCAAGCUCCACAUUCACCUCACUCAAUUUAACUUCCUCUUCUUCUUCCUCUUCUUCAUCUUCUUCAUCAUCAUCAUCAUUUCCCUCAUCACACAAGUCUCCUAAUCCAACCCUGACACCGCCGCCGUCCCCAUUCUCAUUACCACCACAAUCUGAUUCUGAAUUCCCACAAUUCCCCAUUCUCGGAGAGCUGCGAUUUGGUAUAGGGCUGAGACAUGGUGGCGGAGAAGCGGGCGUAGAAGAUUCCCAAGUCCCGCGGGAAGGCUAAAUUCUGCGAGGAGCAGUCCAAUAGGCCCUGCAGAAAUCGGAUCUCGUCGGGUUCGGUCCAUAUCCGGUGGAACUUGAAGGGCGGCGUGGCGGUGGUGUGGGGAGCUUCGAUGUGUUGUUGUUUGGGGGUUGAAUUAGGGUGGAGUCCAUGCUGAUUAACUGCAGAAUUGGGGCUCAACCUCAACCUCUAUCGUUAAUUGCAAUUUUUCUUCUCUUUUCGUUUUCAGGGCUAUUAUUUUUAUCACUAGUAAGGGCAUUCAUUUUGAUUUUGAUUUUGAUUUUUAAUAACCUGGUAAUUACUGCUCAAAAUUAAUUAAUAUCGGGGGACUUUUGGUAUUUCUAUUUAGCCAAAGACUUUGGCAGAUCAAUUUUGCAUGGAUUUAUUUUGUUACAUUUGUUCAAUACAUAUAAAAUUAGAAGAAAUAUUGAGCAAUGCAUUACUCAAUCUUUCAUUGAUAAUAACUCACUUUUUUUUUCUCAUUUAUAAUGAUAUAUUNUUUUAAAGAAAAAUCAUAUUCUCUCAGGUUAAUUUGCUAUAAAUACGCCAACUUUUAUCGAUUUUGAAUUUAGACAUGAGCUUGAAAAUUUGUCUGACAAUACAUAACCUUUGCACUCAUUUUAAUUUUUGGC